GACGAACGCUGGCGGCGUGCUUAACACAUGCAAGUCGAACGGAAAGGCCCUGCUUUUGUGGGGUGCUCGAGUGGCGAACGGGUGAGUAACACGUGAGUAACCUGCCCUUGACUUUGGGAUAACUUCAGGAAACUGGGGCUAAUACCGGAUAGGAGCUCCUGCUGCAUGGUGGGGGUUGGAAAGUUUCGGCGGUUGGGGAUGGACGCGCGGCUUAUCAGCUUGUUGGUGGGGUAGUGGCUUACCAAGGCUUUGACGGGUAGCCGGCCUGAGAGGGUGACAGGCCACAGUGGGACUGAGAUACGGCCCAGAGUCCUACGGGAGGCAGCAGUGGGGAAUAUUGCACAAUGGGCGGAAGCCUGAUGCAGCAACGCCGCGUGCGGGAUGACGGCCUUCGGGUUGUAAACCGCUUGCGCCUGUGACGAAGCGUGAGUGACGGUAAUGGGUAAAGAAGCACCGGCUAACUACGUG
rnacentral:rRNA from 1 species